rnacentral:rRNA from 1 species
AUUGAACGCUGGCGGUAUGCCUUACACAUGCAAGUCGAACGGCAACACGUUAUGGGCUUGCGCUGAGUGGUGCCGGGUUGCGUAAUAGUUAGGAAUGCACCGAGAUCUGCUGUUUAGUGAGGCGUAACGUAUGCUAACAUACGAUACUACCGCAGGCUGCCAACAGGGGAAAGCAGGGGCUUUUGCGACUGGGCGCGAUGAUGGCAGAUUAGGUAGUUGGUGGGAUAAAAGCUUACCAAGCCGACGAUCUGUAGCUGGUCUGAGAGGACGAGCAGCCACACUGGAACUGAGACACGGCCCAGACUCCUACGGGAGGCAGCAGUGGGGAAUUUUGGACAAUGGGCGAAAGCCUGAUCCAGCAAUGCCGCGUGCAGGAUGAAGGCCUUCGGGUUGUAAAGUGCUUUUGUACGGAACGAAAAGGCUCUGGCUAAUACCUGGGGCACAUGACGGUACCGAAAGAAUAAGCACCGGCUAACUACGUG